GACGAACGCUGGCGGCGUGCCUAAUACAUGCAAGUAGAACGCUGAAGGAGGAGCUUGCUUCUCUGGAUGAGUUGCGAACGGGUGAGUAACGCGUAGGUAACCUGCCUGGUAGCGGGGGAUAACUAUUGGAAACGAUAGCUAAUACCGCAUAAUAGCAGUUGUUGCAUGACAACUGUUUGAAAGGUGCAAUUGCACCACUACCAGAUGGACCUGCGUUGUAUUAGCUAGUUGGUGGGGUAACGGCUCACCAAGGCGACGAUACAUAGCCGACCUGAGAGGGUGAUCGGCCACACUGGGACUGAGACACGGCCCAGACUCCUACGGGAGGCAGCAGUAGGGAAUCUUCGGCAAUAGACGGAAGGCUGACCGAGCAACGCCGCGUGAGUGAAGAAGGUUUUCGGAUCGUAAAGCUCUGUUGUAAGAGAAGAACGAGUGUGAGAGUGGAAAGUUCACACUGUGACGGUAUCUUACCAGAAAGGGACGGCUAACUACGUG
rnacentral:rRNA from 1 species